rnacentral:rRNA from 1 species
AACUAACGCUGGCGGCGUGCCUAACACAUGCAAGUCGUACGAGAAAGUUGGCUUCGGCCGAUGAGUAAAGUGGCGCACGGGUGAGUAAUGCGUGGAUAAUCUGCCCUUUAGUUGGGAAUAACGUACCGAAAGGUGCGCUAAUACCUGAUAAUACUGCAUAACUACUGUUGUGUAGUCAAAGAAGGCCUCUGUUUACAAGCUUUUGCUGAAGGAUGAGUCCGCGUACCAUUAGCUGGUUGGUGGGGUAAUGGCCUACCAAGGCUACGAUGGUUAGCUGGUCUGAGAGGAUGAUCAGCCACACUGGAACUGAGACACGGUCCAGACUCCUACGGGAGGCAGCAGUGAGGAAUAUUGCGCAAUGGGGGCAACCCUGACGCAGCAACGCCGCGUGAGUGAGGAAGGUUUUCGGACCGUAAAGCUCCGUCGAGCGGGAAGAAAUGUAUCAUGGCUAAUAUCCAUGAUACUUGACGGUACCGCUAAAGGAAGCACCGG